CUGGGGAGGUGACUCUGUAAACAUGCUGCCUUUACCUGUCAGUACUGGGGAGGUGACUCUGUAAACAUGCUGCCUUUACCUGUCAGUACUGGGGAGGUGACUCUGUAAACAUGCUGCCUUUACCUGUCAGUACUGGGGAGGUGACUCUGUAAACAUACCGCCUUUACCUGUCAGUACUGGGGAGGUGACUCUGUAAACAUGCUGCCUUUACCUGUCAGUACUGGGGAGGUGACUCUGUAAACAUGCUGCCUUUACCUGUCAGUACUGGGGAGGUGACUCUGUAAACAUGCUGCCUUUACCUGUCAGUACUGGGGAGGUGACUCUGUAAACAUGCUGCCUUUACCUGUCAGGACUGGGGAGGUGACUCUGUAAACAUGCUGCCUUUACCUGUCAGGACUGGGGAGGUGACUCUAAACAUGCUGCCUUUACCUGUCAGUACUGGGGAGGUGACUCUGUAAACAUGCUGCCUUUACCUGUCAGUACUGGGGAGGUGACUCUGUAAACAUGCUGCCUUUACCUGUCAGGACUGGGGAGGUGACUCUGUAAACAUGCUGCCUUUACCUGUCAGGACUGGGGAGGUGACUCUGUAAACAUGCUGCCUUUACCUGUCAGUACUGGGAAGGUGACUCUGUAAACAUGCUGCCUUUACCUGUCAGGACUGGGGAGGUGACUCUGUAAACAUGCUGCCUUUACCUGUCAGGACUGGGGAGGUGACUCUGUAAACAUGCUGCCUUUACCUGUCAGGACUGGGGAGGUGACUCUGUAAACAUGCUGCCUUUACCUGUCAGUACUGGGGAGGUGACUCUGUAAACAUGCUGCCUUUACCUGUCAGUACUGGGGAGGUGACUCUGUAAACAUGCUGCCUUUACCUGUCAGUACUGGGGAGGUGACUCUGUAAACAUGCUGCCUUUACCUGUCAGUACUGGGGAGGUGACUCUGUAAACAUGCUGCCUUUACCUGUCAGUACUGGGGAGGUGACUCUAAACAUGCUGCCUUUACCUGUCAGUACUGGGGAGGUGACUCUGUAAACAUGCUGCCUUUACCUGUCAGGACUGGGGAGGUGACUCUGUAAACAUGCUGCCUUUACCUGUCAGUACUGGGGAGGUGACUCUGUAAACAUGCUGCCUUUACCUGUCAGUACUGGGGAGGUGACUCUAAACAUGCUGCCUUUACCUGUCAGUACUGGGGAGGUGACUCUGUAAACAUGCUGCCUUUACCUGUCAGUACUGGGGAGGUGACUCUAAACAUGCUGCCUUUACCUGUCAGUACUGGGGAGGUGACUCUGUAAACAUGCUGCCUUUACCUGUCAGUACUGGGGAGGUGACUCUGUAAACAUGCUGCCUUUACCUGUCAGUACUGGGGAGGUGACUCUGUAAACAUGCUGCCUUUACCUGUCAGUACUGGGGAGGUGACUCUGUAAACAUGCUGCCUUUACCUGUCAGUACUGGGGAGGUGACUCUGUAAACAUGCUGCCUUUACCUGUCAGGACUGGGGAGGUGACUCUGUAAACAUGCUGCCUUUACCUGUCAGGACUGGGGAGGUGACUCUGUAAACAUGCUGCCUUUACCUGUCAGGACUGGGGAGGUGACUCUGUAAACAUGCUGCCUUUACCUGUCAGUACUGGGGAGGUGACUCUGUAAACAUGCUGCCUUUACCUGUCAGUACUGGGGAGGUGACUCUGUAAACAUGCUGCCUUUACCUGUCAGUACUGGGGAGGUGACUCUGUAAACAUGCUGCCUUUACCUGUCAGUACUGGGGAGGUGACUCUGUAAACAUGCUGCCUUUACCUGUCAGUACUGGGGAGGUGACUCUGUAAACAUGCUGCCUUUACCUGUCAGUACUGGGGAGGUGACUCUGUAAACAUGCUGCCUUUACCUGUCAGUACUGGGGAGGUGACUCUGUAAACAUACCGCCUUUACCUGUCAGUACUGGGGAGGUGACUCUGUAAACAUGCUGCCUUUACCUGUCAGUACUGGGGAGGUGACUCUGUAAACAUGCUGCCUUUACCUGUCAGUACUGGGGAGGUGACUCUGUAAACAUGCUGCCUUUACCUGUCAGUACUGGGGAGGUGACUCUGUAAACAUACCGCCUUUACCUGUCAGUACUGGGGAGGUGACUCUGUAAACAUGCUGCCUUUACCUGUCAGGACUGGGGAGGUGACUCUGUAAACAUGCUGCCUUUACCUGUCAGUACUGGGGAGGUGACUCUGUAAACAUGCUGCCUUUACCUGUCAGUACUGGGGAGGUGACUCUGUAAACAUGCUGCCUUUACCUGUCAGGACUGGGGAGGUGACUCUGUAAACAUGCUGCCUUUACCUGUCAGUACUGGGGAGGUGACUCUGUAAACAUGCUGCCUUUACCUGUCAGUACUGGGGAGGUGACUCUGUAAACAUGCUGCCUUUACCUGUCAGUACUGGGGAGGUGACUCUGUAAACAUGCUGCCUUUACCUGUCAGUACUGGGGAGGUGACUCUGUAAACAUGCUGCCUUUACCUGUCAGGACUGGGGAGGUGACUCUGUAAACAUGCUGCCUUUACCUGUCAGUACUGGGGAGGUGACUCUGUAAACAUGCUGCCUUUACCUGUCAGUACUGGGGAGGUGACUCUGUAAACAUGCUGCCUUUACCUGUCAGUACUGGGGAGGUGACUCUGUAAACAUACCGCCUUUACCUGUCAGUACUGGGGAGGUGACUCUGUAAACAUGCUGCCUUUACCUGUCAGUACUGGGGAGGUGACUCUGUAAACAUGCUGCCUUUACCUGUCAGUACUGGGGAGGUGACUCUGUAAACAUGCUGCCUUUACCUGUCAGUACUGGGGAGGUGACUCUGUAAACAUACCGCCUUUACCUGUCAGUACUGGGGAGGUGACUCUGUAAACAUGCUGCCUUUACCUGUCAGUACUGGGGAGGUGACUCUGUAAACAUGCUGCCUUUACCUGUCAGUACUGGGGAGGUGACUCUGUAAACAUGCUGCCUUUACCUGUCAGUACUGGGGAGGUGACUCUGUAAACAUACCGCCUUUACCUGUCAGUACUGGGGAGGUGACUCUGUAAACAUGCUGCCUUUACCUGUCAGUACUGGGGAGGUGACUCUGUAAACAUGCUGCCUUUACCUGUCAGGACUGGGGAGGUGACUCUGUAAACAUGCUGCCUUUACCUGUCAGGACUGGGGAGGUGACUCUGUAAACAUGCUGCCUUUACCUGUCAGUACUGGGGAGGUGACUCUGUAAACAUGCUGCCUUUACCUGUCAGUACUGGGGAGGUGACUCUGUAAACAUGCUGCCUUUACCUGUCAGUACUGGGGAGGUGACUCUGUAAACAUGCUGCCUUUACCUGUCAGUACUGGGGAGGUGACUCUGUAAACAUGCUGCCUUUACCUGUCAGUACUGGGGAGGUGACUCUGUAAACAUGCUGCCUUUACCUGUCAGUACUGGGGAGGUGACUCUGUAAACAUGCUGCCUUUACCUGUCAGUACUGGGGAGGUGACUCUGUAAACAUGCUGCCUUUACCUGUCAGGACUGGGGAGGUGACUCUGUAAACAUGCUGCCUUUACCUGUCAGGACUGGGGAGGUGACUCUGUAAACAUGCUGCCUUUACCUGUCAGUACUGGGGAGGUGACUCUGUAAACAUGCUGCCUUUACCUGUCAGUACUGGGGAGGUGACUCUGUAAACAUGCUGCCUUUACCUGUCAGUACUGGGGAGGUGACUCUGUAAACAUGCUGCCUUUACCUGUCAGGACUGGGGAGGUGACUCUGUAAACAUGCUGCCUUUACCUGUCAGGACUGGGGAGGUGACUCUGUAAACAUGCUGCCUUUACCUGUCAGUACUGGGAAGGUGACUCUGUAAACAUGCUGCCUUUACCUGUCAGGACUGGGGAGGUGACUCUGUAAACAUGCUGCCUUUACCUGUCAGUACUGGGGAGGUGACUCUGUAAACAU